GAUGAACGCUGGCGGCGUGCCUAAUACAUGCAAGUCGAGCGAACAGGCGAGGAGCUUGCUCCUCUGACGUUAGCGGCGGACGGGUGAGUAACACGUGGAUAACCUACCUAUAAGACUGGGAUAACUUCGGGAAACCGGAGCUAAUACCGGAUAAUAUAUUGAACCGCAUGGUUCAAUAGUGAAAGACGGUUUUGCUGUCACUUAUAGAUGGAUCCGCGCCGCAUUAGCUAGUUGGUAAGGUAACGGCUUACCAAGGCAACGAUGCGUAGCCGACCUGAGAGGGGGAUAGGCCACACUGGAACUGAGACACGGUCCAGACUCCUACGGGAGGCAGCAGUAGGGAAUCUUCCGCAAUGGGCGAAAGCCUGACGGAGCAACGCCGCGUGAGUGAUGAAGGUCUUCGGAUCGUAAAACUCUGUUAUUAGGGAAGAACAAAUGUGUAAGUAACUAUGCACGUCUUGACGGUACCUAAUCAGAAAGCCACGGCUAACUACGUG
rnacentral:rRNA from 1 species